CAGUAGCCGCGGUAAUACCGAGGGUGCGAGCGUUAAUCGGAUUUACUGGGCGUAAAGCGUGCGUAGGCGGCUUCUUAAGUCGGAUGUGAAAUCCCCGAGCUUAACUUGGGAAUUGCAUUCGAUACUGGUUAGCUAGAGUGUGGGAGAGGAUGGUAGAAUUCCAGGUGUAGCGGUGAAAUGCGUAGAGAUCUGGAGGAAUACCGAUGGCGAAGGCAGCCAUCUGGCCUAACACUGACGCUGAGGUACGAAAGCAUGGGGAGCAAACAGGAUUAGAUACCCCCGUAGUCCCUGUCUCUUAUAC
rnacentral:rRNA from 1 species